GCAAGUCGAACGCGAACGGUUUCUUCGGAAACCUAGUAGAGUGGCGCACGGGUGAGUAACGCGUAGAUAACCUGUCCUUCUGUCUGGGAUACCCUACCGAAAGGUGGACUAAUACCGGAUGUUCUUAUCUUUCAAAAGUUUUAUAAGAAAAGGUGGCCUCUGAUGUAAGCUACUGCAUGAGGAGGGGUCUGCGUACCAUUAGCUAGUUGGUGGGGUAAGAGCCUACCAAGGCUUCGAUGGUUAGCGGGUCUGAGAGGAUGAUC
rnacentral:rRNA from 1 species